rnacentral:rRNA from 1 species
CUGGAGGACCGAACCGACUAAUGUUGAAAAAUUAGCGGAUGACUUGUGGCUGGGGGUGAAAGGCCAAUCAAACCGGGAGAUAGCUGGUUCUCCCCGAAAGCUAUUUAGGUAGCGCCUCGUGAAUUCAUCUCCGGGGGUAGAGCACUGUUUCGGCAAGGGGGUCAUCCCGACUUACCAACCCGAUGCAAACUGCGAAUACCGGAGAAUGUUAUCACGGGAGACACACGGCGGGUGCUAACGUCCGUCGUGAAGAGGGAAACAACCCAGACCGCCAGCUAAGGUCCCAAAGUCAUGGUUAAGUGGGAAACGAUGUGGGAAGGCCCAGACAGCCAGGAUGUUGGCUUAGAAGCAGCCAUCAUUUAAAGAAAGCGUAAUAGCUCACUGGUCGAGUCGGCCUGCGCGGAAGAUGUAACGGGGCUAAACCAUGCACCGAAGCUGCGGCAGCGACACUAUGUGUUGUUGGGUAGGGGAGCGUUCUGUAAGCCUGUGAAGGUGGCCUGUGAGGGUUGCUGGAGGUAUCAGAAGUGCGAAUGCUGACAUAAGUAACGAUAAAGCGGGUGAAAAGCCCGCUCGCCGGAAGACCAAGGGUUCCUGUCCAACGUUAAUCGGGGCAGGGUGAGUCGACCCCUAAGGCGAGGCCGAAAGGCGUAGUCGAUGGGAAACAGGUUAAUAUUCCUGUACUUGGUGUUACUGCGAAGGGGGGACGGAGAAGGCUAUGUUGGCCGGGCGACGGUUGUCCCGGUUUAAGCGUGUAGGCUGGUUUUCCAGGCAAAUCCGGAAAACCAAGGCUGAGGCGUGAUGACGAGGCACUACGGUGCUGAAGCGACAAAUGCCCUGCUUCCAGGAAAAGCCUCUAAGCAUCAGGUAACAUCAAAUCGUACCCAAAACCGACACAGGUGGUCAGGUAGAGAAUACCAAGGCGCUUGAGAGAACUCGGGUGAAGGAACUAGGCAAAAUGGUGCCGUAACUUCGGGAGAAGGCACGCUGAUAUGUAGGUGAAGCGACUUGCUCGUGGAGCUGAAAUCAGUCGAAGAUACCAGCUGGCUGCAACUGUUUAUUAAAAACACAGCACUGUGCAAACACGAAAGUGGACGUAUACGGUGUGACGCCUGCCCGGUGCCGGAAGGUUAAUUGAUGGGGUUAGCGGUAACGCGAAGCUCUUGAUCGAAGCCCCGGUAAACGGCGGCCGUAACUAUAACGGUCCUAAGGUAGCGAAAUUCCUUGUCGGGUAAGUUCCGACCUGCACGAAUGGCGUAAUGAUGGCCAGGCUGUCUCCACCCGAGACUCAGUGAAAUUGAACUCGCUGUGAAGAUGCAGUGUACCCGCGGCAAGACGGAAAGACCCCGUGAACCUUUACUAUAGCUUGACACUGAACAUUGAGCCUUGAUGUGUAGGAUAGGUGGGAGGCUUUGAAGUGUGGACGCCAGUCUGCAUGGAGCCGACCUUGAAAUACCACCCUUUAAUGUUUGAUGUUCUAACGUUGGCCCGUAAUCCGGGUUGCGGACAGUGUCUGGUGGGUAGUUUGACUGGGGCGGUCUCCUCCUAAAGAGUAACGGAGGAGCACGAAGGUUGGCUAAUCCUGGUCGGACAUCAGGAGGUUAGUGCAAUGGCAUAAGCCAGCUUGACUGCGAGCGUGACGGCGCGAGCAGGUGCGAAAGCAGGUCAUAGUGAUCCGGUGGUUCUGAAUGGAAGGGCCAUCGCUCAACGGAUAAAAGGUACUCCGGGGAUAACAGGCUGAUACCGCCCAAGAGUUCAUAU